AUUGAACGCUGGCGGCAUGCUUUACACAUGCAAGUCGAACGGUAACAGCACUUCGGUGGCUGACGAGUGGCGAACGGGUGAGUAAUACAUCGGAACGUGCCUAGUAGUGGGGGAUAACUACUCGAAAGAGUAGCUAAUACCGCAUGAGUUCUAAGGAUGAAAGCAGGGGACCUUCGGGCCUUGCGCUACUAGAGCGGCUGAUGGCAGAUUAGGUAGUUGGUGGGAUAAAAGCUUACCAAGCCGACGAUCUGUAGCUGGUCUGAGAGGACGACCAGCCACACUGGGACUGAGACACGGCCCAGACUCCUACGGGAGGCAGCAGUGGGGAAUUUUGGACAAUGGGCGCAAGCCUGAUCCAGCAAUGCCGCGUGCAGGAUGAAGGCCUUCGGGUUGUAAACUGCUUUUGUACGGAACGAAAAGCCCUCUUCUAAUACAGGAGGGUCAUGACGGUACCGUAAGAAUAAGCACCGGCUAACUACGUG
rnacentral:rRNA from 1 species